rnacentral:rRNA from 1 species
GACGAACGCUGGCGGCGUGCUUAACACAUGCAAGUCGAACGGAAGGGCCCUGCUUUUGUGUGGUGUUCGAGUGGCGAACGGGUGAGUAACCCGUGAGUAACCUGCCUUGUACUUUGGGAUAACUUCAGGCAACUGGGGCUACUACCUGAUAGGAGCUCCUGCUGGAUGGUGGGGUUUGGAAAUUUUCGGAGGAGGUGGAUGGAGUUGCGGGUAAUCAGCUUGUUGGGGGGGUGGUGGCCAACCAAGGCUUUGGUGGGUGGCCGGCCUGGGAGGGUGACCGGGCACCUUGGGCCUGAGGUACGCCCCAGACGCCAACGGUGGACAGCAGUGGGAAAUCUUGCACAAUGGGGGGGAGCCUGUUGCGAAAACCCCGCGAGCGGGAUGCCGUCCUUCGGGUGGUAAAGCGCUUUCGCCUGUGACGAAGCGUGAGUGACGGUAAUGGGUAAAGAAGCACCGGCUAACUACGUG